GUGGGUAGUUUGACUGGGGCGGUCUCCUCCUAAAGAGUAACGGAGGAGCACGAAGGUUGGCUAAUCCUGGUCGGACAUCAGGAGGUUAGUGCAAUGGCAUAAGCCAGCUUGACUGCGAGCGUGACGGCGCGAGCAGGUGCGAAAGCAGGUCAUAGUGAUCCGGUGGUUCUGAAUGGAAGGGCCAUCGCUCAACGGAUAAAAGGUACUCCGGGGAUAACAGGCUGAUACCGCCCAAGAGUUCAUAUCGACGGCGGUGUUUGGCACCUCGAUGUCGGCUCAUCACAUCCUGGGGCUGAAGUAGGUCCCAAGGGUAUGGCUGUUCGCCAUUUAAAGUGGUACGCGAGCUGGGUUUAGAACGUCGUGAGACAGUUCGGUCCCUAUCUGCCGUGGGCGCUGGAGAACUGAGGGGGGCUGCUCCUAGUACGAGAGGACCGGAGUGGACGCAUCACUGGUGUUCGGGUUGUCAUGCCAAUGGCACUGCCCGGUAGCUAAAUGCGGAAGAGAUAAGUGCUGAAAGCAUCUAAGCACGAAACUUGCCCCGAGAUGAGUUCUCCCUGAGACUUAGAGUCUCCUGAAGGAACGUUGAAGACGACGACGUUGAUAGGCCGGGUGUGUAAGCGCAGCGAU
rnacentral:rRNA from 1 species